rnacentral:rRNA from 1 species
GACGAACGCUGGCGGCGUGCUUAACACAUGCAAGUCGAACGAUGAAGCGGUGCUUGCACCGUGGAUUAGUGGCGAACGGGUGAGUAAUACGUGAGUGACCUACCUUUGACUCUGGGAUAAGCCUGGGAAACUGGGUCUAAUACCGGAUACGACCAAUCUCUGCAUGGGGUGUUGGUGGAAAGCGUUAUGGAGUGGUUUUAGAUGGGCUCACGGCCUAUCAGCUUGUUGGUGAGGUAAUGGCUUACCAAGGCGACGACGGGUAGCCGGCCUGAGAGGGUGACCGGCCACACUGGGACUGAGACACGGCCCAGACUCCUACGGGAGGCAGCAGUGGGGAAUAUUGCACAAUGGGCGCAAGCCUGAUGCAGCGACGCCGCGUGAGGGGUGACGGCCUUCGGGUUGUAAACCUCUGUUAGCAUCGAAGAAGCGAAAGUGACGGUAGGUGCAGAGAAAGCGCCGGCUAACUACGUG